AGUUAGGGUGGCAGAGCCCGGAAAGUGCAAAAGGCCUAAGCCCUUUUAACAGAGGUUCAAAUCCUCUCCAUAACUA
rnacentral:tRNA from 1 species